UUCAACUUGACGGACCCUGACAGCUUCAACUUGACGGACCUCGACUACAGUUAUGACAGUUAUGACUAUACCGAAUUCAGCACUGACCGUGUCCACACUUCUUUUAAAGAGGCUGAGUCCAAUUUCAGGAACAAGGCCUCAGGGAUUGGUCAGCUGAAGCUCGUGUUCCUGCUGGGAUUGGCUAUCCUUCAGAUUUGGAAUUGACUAGUGAUGUGCGAUACCACUGAUUUCCUUUCCGAUCCCAUACCAAGUAAAAUUCAGGGUGGUAUCGACGAUACUGAUCCGAUACCCAUACUCUGUA